CUUUAAAACUCCUGACUUUGUUCCUUAAUUGGAAAUAAUUAUUAAUGAAAUUAAAGAAAUUAAUAUUUACUGCUGAGGUGCUCAGUUAUCUUUCUUGGUUACUCUUCGAUAGUAAGGAGAGUUUGGAUAUUUUUACCUUCACCAAAAUGGAUGUGAGUAUUUUCUAUCGUCUGGAUCAUACAAAACAGGACGCCCUGAAGCAAUAUGGAGUUUGUUAUCUGAAAAAUUAUCGAGAAAGAGUAAAUAUCUUGUGUUUAAAGUUAUUAUUUGCAUAGUAACUCUGUGAUUAAGCAUUAUUUACAAUGAAAAAAAUGGGGGAAAAGAUAUCCGAAGAGAAAAGGAAACGUAAAAUAAAGAAACCUCCAUCCAAUGAUCUAGAAAUUGGUAGAACUCUUGAAAAGAGCAGAAACGAGGUAACAAUCAUAGAACAUGUUACCGGUGCCUGUCCAAGAAUUCCAUAUUACAAGCGAAAAUAUAAAGAAGAGAGAAAGAGAGAGAGGCGGGGAGAUGGACAGACCACCAAAAGGAAAAACCAAUCACCAAAAGGAAAAACCAAUCACCAAAGGGAAAAACGAUCAUAGCCAAUCACCGAAAGGGAAAACGACCAGCCAAACAAGCAAGCAACCGAGCAACAAUCAACUUUACAAACCAUAUAAACGGCUGUAACCAAGCAAGCAACUAAUACACCAGCCAGCCAGCCAACCGACCAGCAUGCAAUAUAACUUAACUUUUUCACGUAACUGACUUCGUGAAAAAAAAACCUUGUAGUUCUCAGUCCAAGGUCUCUUCUUUCUAUGACAUUAGCACCACCACCACGAACACCAUCUGUCUGUCUGUCUCUCACACACACAUACAAACACGCAAUGACAGUUGCCACAAUUAUGACAAAUGACACUACUACUACUACUACUGCUACUGCUGCUACUGCUGCCAUAUUAUCAUACAGAGUAAGCCAUUGUUUUUACAACACUCCUUUAACAACAAUAUAAUCUAGUCAAGGCCAAGUUUAUGUACACACACAAACACACGUACACACGCACACAAACACACAUACAUGAAUAUACAUAGAUAUGUACCUACAUUCAUGUAUACCGACACACGCGCGCACCACACACACACACGCACGCACGCACACCUAUGUCAAGUCCAGAAAAUAUUAUUCCUGGGUCUGCUCAUCUUCCAACUGUAUAAGCCUCUUUACUUCUACUAUCAACAAUAAUACUACCGCUGCAGCCACUACCACCACUACCACCACCGUCGCUGCUACUGCCAACACCAACAUCAUCCACAAUUCCGACACGGAAGGGAGCAUCAAUACCGUACCAAACUGCUAGAAACUGCAUCCGAAACCGAGAUCACUCCUUCCCAAGUAACGUUGGUGCUAGUACCACUUCCAUCCACCAACUUCAACACAAACUACAAUGGUGGAUGGGUGGAGAAUAUCUGGUGUAAUGGGGCCUCUGAGUAGUAGUAGUAGUGGCGGUGGGGGUUUCAAAUUUUGGCACAAGGCCAGCAAUUUGGAGGGAGGGGUGGAGUAAGUUGAUUACAUUGACCCCCAGUGAUCAACUGGUACUUAUUUUAUCGACCCCCUUCCGCCCCCCCACUCCAACCCUCACCGAAAGGAUGAAAGGCAAAGUUGACGUCAGUGGAAUUUGAACUCAGAAUGUUAAGACGGAUGAAAUGUCACAAAACGAUUCUGCCGUAUUAUCACCUUAAUAAUAACACCUUUAAUCAAAGAUUAGCUCAGUCAGACGUGCCUUGAGGCUAACCCACAACAACAACAACAGUAUUAAUCAAUGAGGGAACCUCUACGUUGUCUUUGAAACAGCUAGAAAGAGCAGUCAAAUGCCUAUUACUGUCUUACAUUAAAAGGGAAGAUGCAUAGGGUUUAUUUAGUCUGAAAAAGAGAAGAUGGCCAUGGCUGGAUUGCCUUACAUUAAGUAAAUGAAUAAUGUUAACAAUUAUUUAUUUAAAUAAGCAGAAGGAAAAGAAAUUAAAGAAACAUUAAAAGAAAAAAGAAAAUAAUUUAAAUAAAAUUGAAAAAAUAUUAAAAGAAAAAAGAAAAUAAUUUAAAUAAAAUUGAAAAAAUAUUAAAAGAAAAAAGAAAAUAAUUUAAAUAAAAUUGAAAAAAAUAUUAAAAGAAAAAGAAAAUAAUUUAAAUAAAAUUGAAAAAAUAUUAAAAGAAAAAAGAAAAUAAUUUAAAUAAAAUUGAAAAAAAUAUCAAAAGAAAAAAGAAAAUAAUUCUUUUAAUGCAAAAAAAAUAAUAAAAUAAAAAUAAAAUAGGAUAUAGGCUUAGGUAUGGCUGUGUGGUAAGAAGCUUGCUUCCCAACCACAUGGUUCCAGGUUCAGUCCCAACGCAUGACACUAACAGCAAGUGUCUUCUACUACAGCCUCGGGCUGACCAAAACCUUUUGAGUGGAUCUGACAGAUGGAAACUGAAAGAAGCCUUUGUGUGUGUAUAUGUAGGUAUGUGUGUGUGUCAUUAUGUUCCCAUCACCACAUGGCAACCAGUGUUGGUUUGUGUAUGUCCCCAUAACUUAGUGGUUCAGCAAUAGAAAGUGACAGAAUAAGUACCAGCCUUAAAAAAGAAAGAAAAAAUAAACAGUGUGGGGAGAGGGGGGGCGAUCCAUUCAGCUAAAAUUCUUCAAGGCGGUGCUCCAGCAUGGCCACAGCCUAAAUGACUGAAGCAAGACAGAAGAUGACUGAAAUGAAAUUAUCAAAAUGUAUGAGGAAAAUAAAAUUGAGACAUGUAAAAUAUUGCCCUCCACAAUUAUUUUUCCCAUUAAAUUCCAACGUAAUCAUCACCAACACCAUCUGAAAGGGAUCUCUAGGAUCCCUUUCAUCUCAAAGGGAUCUGAAAGUUAUGAGGAAACAAACUCGUGGUGGGGGGAAGAAUGUUACAUCCCUGUAGUUGUGCCCAAUUGAUUGUAAUCAUGUGACUGACCAGGCUAUCAGAUGUUGUCGCAUAUUGCUGGACACAAUGCAUUUUUACACAUCGUUUUAGCCCUCAAAUGAUGCCACCCCACUGGCUAGGUGAGCAGGCCAGCCCCACCACCACCACAGAUCGAACAGGGGACUGGAGGAAUGUGAAAUGAAGGGCUUUGUUCAAGAACACAAUGCACUACCCAUUCAGGGAAUUGAACCCACAGUCUAGCAAUCCCAGCCUAACCACUAGGCUAUGUGCCUAGUACUAGGCUGCCCAAUGAAUAUGAAAGGAUAUUAGGAUCAACAUAAUUUGGUUGAUGCUGGAUUAAGAUUAUAAUUUGUGGAAAGUAGCAUUACAAAUAUUUAGACAACCUUUAUAAUUUCUAGAACUAUAAACAAAUGCUAAACUACCCCACAGUAAAGCGAAGUGUUGCAGUGAUUAAGAUUCAUGUCCUUAAAAUAUUCAGUAUUAAAAGAAGCAGCAAAACUGCAUGUUGAUAAAAAUAUAUUAAAACAGGGAUUGAUAAAAAUAUUCCACACAGUUUAGUCAUUAACAAUUGCUUUCUUUUUAGUAAAAGUAACACAAGUCCAUCUAAAUAAGCAGUUUUUCCAAUUAUAUAUGCAUAAACAUGCAUAUGUUUCCAUAUAUAUACAUAAACAUGCAUAUAUAUGUAACUAUGUAUAUAUGUAAAGGUACAUGUGUGUAUAUAUAUAUAUGUAAACUUGUGAGUAUAGAAAAACAGACACACAUGAGCACAUGUGUGUGUGUGUAUAGAUAAAUCUAAGUAACAAGCGAUGCCUUCAUUCAUAACCUGAUCAAUUAUCAAUAGUCAAAAAAAGGGAGGGAAAAAUAAAAGGAAAAAAAAUAAUUCCUAUCAAAUCAAACCAAACAGAGAAUACCAAAAGAAAAUCAAGAAGCAAGUCUGAUUGAAACUUGCCAAAAAUAAUAAAACCAAUGAAACUAAUAAAUAAACAAAUGAAUGAAUAUAUAGAUAAUUAAAAAAUUACAUAUGAGAUAAAUAUAAAAAAAUAACAAAGAAAAGCCAAACAAUGAUUAUAAUUGCCUAAAAACACAUCAAUUAUAAUUAUGAACUAAUUGACUUAGUGUCAAAUGUUGAUUUUGGACACACACACACACACACACACAUAUAUAUAUAUAUACAAACACGCACACAUACACACAUUUAUGAAGAAACAACAAUAACAACAGGUGCUCUAAUUAUCUCAGGAACCUAUAGAAAGUAUCGUUACUUAUUCAAGAAUUGUGAGGUAAAAACGUACAGCAGUUUGAAUGUGUUUGUAUUAGAUAUGUAUGUGUGUGUGAGUGUUUGCAUGCAUCUAUAUAUAUAUAGACAUAUAUAUAUAUAUAUAUAUAUAUAUACACACACACACAGUCACAUAUCACACAUAUACACACACACACAUGGCAAUGAAUGGCAAUAAAAAAUCAAUUAUUGAUAGAUAAAAGAUAUUUUCUCAUUGUUAGCAAAUAUAAUUUUAAUGAUUGAUAUAGAAUUAUAUUCAAAUUAAAUAAUAUGAAACUAAAAAUCUAAGUGUAUAGACACACAUAUAAAUGUGUAUGUAUGUGUACACACAUACAGACAUUUACUAUAAUUUAUCUGCUCGCUAGAAAUAGCAGCCAAAACUCCUUCGAGUCACACCCUACUAACAGAUUCAAACUAAGGAUAUACUGGACAAUGAUAUACAAUAAAUAAAUAAAUAAAAUGAUUAGGUUGUAUUUGAAAAGGCUUUAGUCAUUAAUCAGCUCAUUCAAAGGUACAAGGCAGUAAACAGCACACACAUACAUACACACGCAAGUGCAAGUGUAGCUGUGUGGGAAGAAGUUUGGGUUCAGUUCCAAUGCAUGGCACCUCGGGCAAGUGUUUUCUAUUAUAGCCCUGGGCCAAACAGAACCUUGUGAGUGGAUUUCGUAGAAUAGAACUGAAGAAAGCCCAUUGUACAUGUGUAUAAAAGGGUCAAGACCCUAUCCAGUCAUGAGUUAUCAUGGAAAUGCACCUAAAAAGUUACCCCAUGAGAUGCUAGUCCGGGCAAGAGGAUUUAUGGAAGACCAGCAGUCGCCCAUGCAUACCAGACUCCCCCUCUCACGCCACCGAUGUUAUCCAAGGGAAAGGCAAAGGGGCCAAUACAUCUUGGCACCAGUGACGUCGCAACUCAUCUCUACAGCAGAGUGAACUUGAACAACAUGAAAUAAAAUGUCUUGCUCAAAAACACAGCACACAGCCCAGUCUGGGAAUCGAACUCACUAUCUCAUGAUUGUGAGC